AAGUCGUAACAAGGUUUCCGUAGGUGAACCUGCGGAAGGAUCAUUACAAAUCCAAAGUCACCCCCUUCACUGGUCGUUGACAACGUUGAACCCUCCCGUGCGGACCGCUGGCCUGGCCCUCCCGGGCCCAGCCAGCGGGCCACACACUCUAUGUGACACACUUGCUGACAUGAACGACCACGAAUGUACCAACAACAACAACCUAGAAACAACUUAUAACAAUGGAUCUCUAGGCUCUU
rnacentral:misc_RNA from 1 species